rnacentral:rRNA from 1 species
AUGGCGAUGGCUAGGACGACGACGCUCCUCCUCCUCGUCGCCACGGCUCUCCUCGUGGCCUCCUGCGGCGCGUGGGAGGCCAACAUCCGCAUGCCGACGUCCAUGGACGAGGCGGUGGUGGCACCAUUGAUCCACGCGCUGCGGCCGCUGCUGGGCUCCGGCAAGCACGCCGGAGUGGCGUGCGACAGCUGGGUGCUGGGCGUGGAGGCGCACAACGUGCGGGACUGGAAGACCGUGCCCGCCAGCUGCGAGGGGUACGUCGGCCACUACAUGCUCGGCAGCCACUUCCGCCGCGACUCCAAGGUCGUCGUCGACCAGGCCCUCGCCUACGUCGACUCCCUCAAGCUCACCGGCAACGGCAAGGAGGUCUGGGUCUUCGACAUCGACGAGACCACCCUCUCCAACCUCCCCUACUACGCCAAGCACGGCUUCGGGGCUACACCGUUCAACGCGACGAGCUUCAACGCAUACGUGCGGGAGGGGAGCGCGCCCGCGCUGCCGGAGACGAAGCGGUUGUACAACAAGCUGCGCUCGGUCGGUAUCAAGCCAGUGUUCCUCACCGGCCGGACCGAGGACCAGAGGGCCAUCACCGUCACCAACCUCCGCCGCCAGGGCAUCUCCGGGUGGAUGAACCUGCUGCUGAAGCAGCCCGGCUUCAAGGGCUCCGCAGUGACCUACAAGUCCGGCGAGAGGCAGAAGCUGCAGGACGCCGGGUACGUCAUCGUCGGCAAUAUCGGCGACCAGUGGAGUGACAUCCUCGGCGCGCCUGAGGGCGCCCGCACUUUCAAGCUGCCAGACCCCAUGUACUACAUCGGCUAG